AAGCUGUUCUCCUAACUUGGCCUUGCUGCAGAGAUGUUUGGUCUGCUUGUGCUUGCCUGUUGCAAAUCAGCUCCCAUCUGCACCAACUAUGUCCUGACCUUCGCGGGGAGUUCAGACAGCCUCCCAAAAGUUACGAGGGAGGAGAGCCGAGCUGGAGGAGGAAGAGGAGCGUGAGAGUGAAUGAACGGACGUCCAGACUUAUUCUGAAGGGACUUCUAAAGGAAACGGCUUGGACAUUGUCAAGAACAGUUUGAAUUCCCUGCAGCUGAAGACUUCUCAUGGUGAUGGAUGACAGG